UGUGUCCGGAAUUGGUGGGUUCUUGGUCUCACUAACUUCAAGAAUGAAGCCGUGGACCCUCGCGAUUAACUGUCCUCUUCCAUGUUCAAACCAUAUGUAAUUGUAAUUGAAUGGAAGUUAAACAUCUGGAAACCGUUAGGAUUGAAUAGCAAUGAAAGGCAGGAAGCACAAGACUAUGGAAAGUGAUUUUGAACAACCAGGUGGUCCCAAAGAUAACCAAUUGUUUAGAUCCUAGAGGAAAGGGAAGAACCCACAUCUACCAUGAAUGAAUAAAUGGCGACCUGGAAGCAUACUUCCGGUAGCAAUGGGGACAUGGGUCAAAGGGGACUUGAGCUUUCAGAAUGAAGACACAUAAUCCCUAUUAGAGUGGAAGACUUAAAAUCGAGUUUGAGACCCACCUUCUGAAACUGCAGGCUCUUGGGAGCCUGAUUUCCAGUGAAGAGUGUUGCUGCUUUGCAUUUUUCACACUUGAACACGGUGAAGAAGAUGAACAUUAAUUAGGAUUAUAGUGCCAUGGAGGCUUACUGUGCUGUGAGAACUCACAAGAAAUAAAAUGCCAUUUCUUUUUGGA